UGUCCUUAGGCCACAGUGAAACUGUUGGUUGGCUGCCGAGGACUUGACUCAAGACUUUAGUCCUGAGAGCUUUAUUUUUUAUUGUCCCUCUUUGGAACUAGACAUCUGUGAUCACCGCUGACCUGAAUUAUCGUAUAUGACAGGCGCUAAACAACGGUGUCAUUGAAACACACAUGUCAAUAAAUUUGAAUCCUAAGCCGAUUCUGCCUAACAAAGGAUUGCACCCUAAACUCAAUUUAACAGAAGGAAACUUUGAAUCUCCUGGGUUCCCCUGACCACCAACUCCAUGGAGACCUGGU